CAUGUAGCCUAGUGGUUUAUAGCGUCCGUCUCGGAUGCGGGAGGUCGUGGGUUUGAUCAUCGGUCGAGUCAUACCAAAGA